AGUGAACGCUGGCGGUAGGCCUAACACAUGCAAGUCGAACGGCAGCACAGGAGAGCUUGCUCUCUGGGUGGCGAGUGGCGGACGGGUGAGGAAUACAUCGGAAUCUACUUUUUCGUGGGGGAUAACGUAGGGAAACUUACGCUAAUACCGCAUACGACCUACGGGUGGAAGCAGGGGAUCUUCGGACCUUGCGCGAUUGAAUGAGCCGAUGUCGGAUUAGCUAGUUGGCGGGGUAAAGGCCCACCAAGGCGGCGAUCCGUAGCUGGUCUGAGAGGAUGAUCAGCCACACUGGAACUGAGACACGGUCCAGACUCCUACGGGAGGCAGCAGUGUGGAAUAUUGGACAAUGGGCGCAAGCCUGAUCCAGCCAUACCGCGUGGGUGAAGAAGGCCUUCGGGUUGUAAAGCCCUUUUGUUGGGAAAGAAAUCCAGCUGGUUAAUACCCGGUUGGGAUGACGGUACCCAAAGAAUAAGCACCGGCUAACUUCGUGCCAGCCGCCGCCGUAA
rnacentral:rRNA from 1 species